GCUGUGAGGCAUGCUGGAGGUAUCAGAAGUGCGAAUGCUGACAUAAGUAACGAUAAAGCGGGUGAAAAGCCCGCUCGCCGGAAGACCAAGGGUUCCUGUCCAACGUUAAUCGGGGCAGGGUGAGUCGACCCCUAAGGCGAGGCCGAAAGGCGUAGUCGAUGGGAAACAGGUUAAUAUUCCUGUACUUGGUGUUACUGCGAAGGGGGGACGGAGAAGGCUAUGUUGGCCGGGCGACGGUUGUCCCGGUUUAAGCGUGUAGGCUGGUUUUCCAGGCAAAUCCGGAAAACCAAGGCUGAGGCGUGAUGACGAGGCACUACGGUGCUGAAGCGACAAAUGCCCUGCUUCCAGGAAAAGCCUCUAAGCAUCAGGUAACAUCAAAUCGUACCCCAAACCGACACAGGUGGUCAGGUAGAGAAUACCAAGGCGCUUGAGAGAACUCGGGUGAAGGAACUAGGCAAAAUGGUGCCGUAACUUCGGGAGAAGGCACGCUGAUAUGUAGGUGAAGCGACUUGCUCGUGGAGCUGAAAUCAGUCGAAGAUACCAGCUGGCUGCAACUGUUUAUUAAAAACACAGCACUGUGCAAACACGAAAGUGGACGUAUACGGUGUGACGCCUGCCCGGUGC
rnacentral:rRNA from 1 species